GAGGGUGCGAGCGUUACCCGAUUUUACUGGGCGUAAAGGGCGUGUAGGCGGUCUUUCAAGUCCGAUGCUAAAGACUGGGGCUCAACCCCAGGGGUGCGUUGGAUACUGUGAGGCUAGACGGUCGGAGGGGGUAGCGGAAUUUCCGGAGUAGCGGUGAAAUGCGCAGAUACCGGAAGGAACGCCAAUAGCGAAGGCAGCUACCUGGACGACUUGUGACGCUGAGGCGCGAAAGCGUGGGGAGCAAACCGGAUUAGAUACCCGGGUAGUCCACGCCCUAAACCAUGAGUGCUGGGUGUCCGGCUUCUGCUGGGUGCCGUAGCUAACGCGCUAAGCACUCCGCCUGGGAAGUACGCACGCAAGUGUGAAACUCAAAGGAAUUGACGGGGGCCCGCACAAGCGGUGGAGCAUGUGGUUUAAUUCGAAGCGACGCGAAGAACCUUACCAGGCCUUGACAUGCCCGGAACCCCUCUGAAAGGAGGGGGUGCCCGCAAGGGAGCCGGGACACAGGUGCUGCAUGGCCGUCGUCAGCUCGUGUCGUGAGAUGUUGGGUUAAGUCCCGCAACGAGCGCAACCCCUAUCCCUAGUUGCCAGCAGUUCGGCUGGGCACUCUAUGGAGACUGCCUGCGAAAGCAGGAGGAAGGCGGGGAUGACGUCUGGUCCGCAUGGCCCUUACGGCCUGGGCGACACACGUGCUACAAUGCCAAGGACAGAGCGCUGCUACCUCGCGAGAGGACGCCAAUCGCAAAAACCUUGGCUCAGUUCGGAUUGGAGUCUGCAACUCGACUCCAU
rnacentral:rRNA from 1 species